rnacentral:tRNA from 1 species
AGGAUUUAAGUUAAAUAAACUAUUAACCUUCAAAGUUAAAAAUAGAACUAAUCUAAGCCUUGG